CGGAAAAAAGAAAAAAGUGUGAUUUUUUUUUCCGAAAUGUUUUUUUUUUUUUUUUUUGGGUAAAACGGAUUGCCAUAUAACAGUGGUUAAAGAAAGAUCUUACAUGGUAGUGGACAAAAAGACACUGCUAUAAAGUUACUACUGGAAAUCCUAAAGGAAUUUUGCCUUUUCAUAUCAGGACGAAAAAGUAUUAGGGCCACCUACCUGUAUCAUACUAUUUGUACGAUAAAUCCGGUCUUCUAAGAGAAGUCAUGGUCACAAUUUUUUAAAAUAUCUUUCAUCACAAACUGUUGUCAUGCCCAAGCUUUUUGAAAAGGAAACAAGAUGGGAUUAACUUUUGAUUACAUAUUUAAUCAACACUUAUCCAUAUGGAGAGUGCCAACAAAUUAACCACACAGAUCAUAUACAAGAUUGAGUUACUGCAUCUGCUUCUGCUGUUACCACUCAAACUGUUCCUUGAUUCAUACCGAAGAAAUUCUGCUGAACAAUAAAAUGCACACACUGGAGAAUAAUAUUACGUUCAUGCAAAAUUUCACCUUGCAACAGCUGUAAAAAAAUUUAAUCUUGGUUUAAUCUAAGGUUACAGGCAAAUAAAUUUUUUAAAUAAAA